rnacentral:rRNA from 1 species
CGUUGCUCGGAAUCACUGGGCGUAAAGCGCACGUAGGCGGCUUUCUAAGUCCGGGGUGAAAUCCUGGAGCUCAACUCCAGAACUGCCUUUGAUACUGAAGAUCUUGAGUCCGGGAGAGGUGAGUGGAACUGCGAGUGUAGAGGUGAAAUUCGUAGAUAUUCGCAAGAACACCAGUGGCGAAGGCGGCGCACUGGCCCGGUACUGACGCUGAGGCACGAAAGCGUGGGGAGCAAACAGG